rnacentral:rRNA from 1 species
GAUGAACGCUGGCGGCGUGCCUAAUACAUGCAAGUCGAGCGAACGGACGAGAAGCUUGCUUUUCUGAUGUUAGCGGCGGACGGGUGAGUAACACGUGGAUAACCUACCUAUAAGACUGGGAUAACUUCGGGAAACCGGAUCUAAUACCGGAUAAUAUUUUGAACCGCAUGGUUCAAAAGUGAAAGACGGUCUUGCUGUCACUUAUAGAUGGAUCCUCGCUGCAUUAGCUAGUUGGUAAGGUAAAGGCUUACCAAGGCAACGAUGCAUAGCCGACCUGAGAGGGUGAUCGGUCACACUGGAACUGAGACACGGUCCAGACUCCUACGGGAGGCAGCAGUAGGGAAUAUUGCGCAAUGGGCGAAAGCCUGAUGGAGCAACGCCGCGUGAGUGAUGAAGGUCUUCGGAUCGUAAAACUCUGUUAGUAGGGAAGAACAUAUGUGUAAGUAAAUGUGCACAUCUUGACGGUACCUAAUGAGAAAGCAACGGCUAACUACGUG